GAGGCUGAAUAUGCUUCAUUGUGUUGGUCAGUAUUUAUUUCCAGGGUUUUCCCCUCUUACUUUCCCAUGGUUUCACAGCUGUACCAGUGAACAGUGGGUGUGGGGGCCCCAUCUGUGACACAGAGCACACCGUGGCCCUGGUCCAUGUGCUGGUUAGACAGAUCUACUAUCUUCGGGGGACCUGCAGGGAGAGGAAAUAUCCCAUGAGAAUGUGAAAAGUCAAAGGUGAUCUCUUUGACGUCAUCUCCAUUGGCCACCUGGACGGUGUAGAGACCCAUCUGUCCAUCCUGACCCUUACCAAGAUAGGAGUACUGAGGUGUACUGGCCCGAGUCCUCCAAAGUAGCUCUGGAGAUGUUCAAGAAGGAGCGGAUUCUGAGCUCCCGGUUCCCUGGUAGAAAGUCUGUCACUGCCUCAAUCAUCUUCAGAUGGAAACACAAUAUAACAGAACCAACCAGACCGCUUACUCAGUACAAAGACUGCCAUGUCCUUGGUCUCCUCUGUCGAGGGCUUCACUGGUGGAGGACCAGCACACUGGUGGUUCCUCUGUCCUCCACAGACAGUCCCUCCAGGCUGGGCUCGUGAGCAGACUUCCAGGUCACCUUGCUCCAACCAGAACAGACCACUGUGAAGGAGGAGUUGGUGCUCAGUGUGACCUCCUUUUCACAUGAUGGAAUCAUGUUAAAUAAAAUACAAACGUGAUGGAAUCAUGUUAAAUAAAAUACAAACGUGAUGGAAUCAUGUUAAAUAAAAUACAAACGUGAUGGAAUCAUGUUAAAUAAAAUACAAAAAUGUGAUGGAAUCAUGUUAAAUAAAAUACAAACGUGAUGGAAUCAUGUUAAAUAAAAUACAAACGUGAUGGAAUCAUGUUAAAUAAAAUACAAAUGUGAUGGAGUCAUGUUAAAUAAAAUACAAAUGUGAUGGAGUCAUGUUAAAUAAAAAUACAAAUGUGAUGGAGUCAUGUUAAAUAAAAUACAAAUGUGAUGGAGUCAUGUUAAAUAAAAUACAAAUGUGAUGGAGUCAUGUUAAAUAAAAUACAAACGUGAUGGAAUCAUGUUAAAUAAAAUACAAACGUGAUGGAAUCAUGUUAAAUAAAAUACAAAUGUGAUGGAGUCAUGUUAAAUAAAAUACAAAUGUGAUGGAGUCAUGUUAAAUAAAAAUACAAAUGUGAUGGAGUCAUGUUAAAUAAAAUACAAAUGUGAUGGAGUCAUGUUAAAUAAAAUACAAAUGUGAUGGAGUCAUGUUAAAUAAAAUACAAACGUGAUGGAAUCAUGUUAAAUAAAAUACAAACGUGAUGGAAUCAUGUUAAAUAAAAUACAAACGUGAUGGAAUCAUGUUAAAUACAAUACAAACGUGAUGGAAUCAUGUUAAAUAAAAUACAAAUGUGAUGGAGUCAGUAAAAUUGUGUAGAGAGAGGACUUUGAAGUUGAGUGCACAUGCUCAGCGUCAUAUCCAGAGGUUGUCUUUGGGAAAUAGACGUAUGAGUGAUGCCAGCAUUGCAGCAGAGGUU
rnacentral:lncRNA from 13 species